AAUCAGUCCUGACAAUGCUGCAAACAGACUAUACCUUUUAAGGGAAGCAGACCAAGAGAAAGAGAUUGCUCACGUGCAUCGACGCAUGUCAGGAUCAUCCACUUGGUCACAGAGGCGCAGUCCCAGGUUGAAACACUCCUCAGCCAAUGGCUUCAUGGGUUCUCCCACUGCUCGAGCCAGAGUUCCAAGAGUUUCUAAGAAAAGUCAAGAAGAAUAGGGAGAAAGUACAGCAUUCAAAGCUGGAUAGGCUAACAUAGUUCUGAGUAAGAUGGGCUAAAUGAGGGGAGGCAUAUGAGAUCAGUCAGGAAUCAAGAUGCCAAAAAUGAGGUGAAUAAACUCAUCAGAAUUUAAGACCUACAAGAACCUGAGGGGGCCAAAACAAAGCUUCCAAUAUAGUCUACAAGCAUUUCUUGUCUAAUCAGCAGAAAUCCGUUAGGUGAAAUAGGGAAUAGUAAAGUGGAGAGACAUGUGGAAAGGGUAUUCCGAAGAACCUGAGAGGGUGAAAGGAAGAAGUGCUCACCAAGACUCUGGAUUUGCACAGAUCGAAGGUCCUCACGCCCAGUCAACAGGUUUUCUGAGAAUUGGCCCAUUGCAAAUAGAGCAGCACUGCGCACCACCUGGGAAGGAUCAGCCAAACCCUUGCACACAAUCUGCAG